AUGGACAGUCUCAAGCCUGUUAAACAACAUAUUCUCUGGAAGAAGAAGGCUGAGAUGCUCCAGUCUCGGGUGGAUGAGCUGGAGGAGGAAAAUGGCUUACUCAAGAAGCAACUUGAAGAGAAGUCUGCACAAGAACAAGAUGGGAACAUGGAGAUAAUGGCCACUGGAGAUGAGGAGCCACAGGCCAUGAUGCUGGACUCCAGCACUGAUACUAGCACUGAUUCAAGCUCUGAUGACUCCAGCUCCAGCUCUACCUCUGACUCUUCGGUUGAGGAAAAGAAGAAAAAGAAGUAUAAAAAGAAAAAUGGCAAGAAGAGAAGUAAAAAAAGAAAGAAGGAAAACAAAAAAA